GUAGUCCUGAGUGUAUUGUCAUAGUCUAGUAAUCACGAGAUAGCUUCGUCCCAAUCGAUCAAUUCAAAUGUAUUGUCUAUUGAUUUUUUUUCUUAGGCAUGUCGUUCUGGUACGUUCUGUUAGCUAAAAAAAACGUCAUUACCAUAAAUAUUUCCUGGUGGAGAUGUUUGAAAUAUUUCUUUAUUGUUAGGCCUAUUCUUUUUAAUAUAUGUUAUUCGUGUAGUGAUUUUAAUGGUAUCAAUUGACUAUUCAAGGAACCAACGGCAAAGUAUUCAAUUACCCUAUUUUGAAUACAUCAGCAUAUAAAGAUCUAAAGUCACAGACUAUUCAAGGAGAGGUUUUGUGUUUCCGGUAUUUAUAUUACAUAAAAAAUAAUAUCUCCUGUUUUUAUCUAAUUUAAAAACAAAAUACAAAAUUAACAUGAAGAAAGGAUAUUUUAAUUUGGAAAGUUUCAUUGUUGAAAGUGGUCAAGAUCUAUUGAAAUUCACACAGGAUAAUAUUUCAGAAUCUUCCAAAAAAAAUGGAGAUUGUUGUUUUAGCUUUAUGAUGAAUACUAACUCUGCAAAGAUGCCUUUGCUAAAAAAUUCUUGAGUAUAGAGGUAUUUGUGACUAGAAUUAAUAACUAUCAGGCUGAUUCAUAUUGCACAUUGGUUGUAGACAUUCUCCAACUGAAGAAGAACAAGAUAAGUAAGAGUGUGUUUAGAUUCUAGCCCAAACCUCCUCCUGGGACGCCAGGGGCAAGGCGACGAGCAGUGUUCAAUCCAGGGAUCAUCAAGACAAUACUCUGGGGUAGAUAUUCUACGUCCGUUCUAUGUCUAGUGAUUCUUCAAUUCACUUGGAAAACACACAGAGCAAUGAAUUGUGAGAUCCACAGAUUGAGGACAUUUUUAAAUUACCCCAGUGACUUUCUCCAAUCAGCAUCUCUGCUAGCGAGCGAUGGCUUUCUGUAUGCUGGUGACGGAAAUAAUAACGCAGUGAUCUGUUUCUUUUGUAAAAAAGUUCUGAUAAACUGGCCGCAGGGUGCUGACAUUCAGGAUGUUCAUUACUUCAUGUCACCAGACUGCCCCAUGGUCACUGGGCAUCCAUGUGAGAAUAUAGCAUGGCCAGCCAGGCCAGUUCAAGAAUCAGACAUAAACGCUACUGAUAUAGCACUUGCUUAUUAUUCCAGUAUGGGAAUCAAUUUGAAAGCACCUAAACCUCGAAAAAUUGUAUUACCAGCUCAUGACAAGUGAUUUGUAAUGGAUGGUCUCAUAAAAUGAAGGCGAAUCCAUAAAGAGCAUGAUUCCUUUUGCCAUUUUCAGUGUACAAUAGAAUACUUAUAUUGUAACAAUCUAUUCAUAUUGUAAACCAUAUAAUAGUUUUAGUAGCUUCAUUUUGCGUUGUAGAGUCAAAUUAAAAGUCAAAAUUUAUAUUAAGAGUAAAUUACUGUGAAUAAAUGAAUGUGUUAAAUUUCUAAUAUGAAAAAUAAUUGUGAAAAUGUAUUAAAUCUAUGUUUACAGUAAUUUGUACAAAACCAAAAUUUAUAUUUCUUAAGGUUAUUCACUAAUUACUUAUCUCCACCUGAACAUUGUGCUUGUUAGGCGGACUAGAGUAAUGUUUCAAAUUUUAAUUUCCAUGAAUAUAUAAUAAAUUUAAAAUGAAUAAAAGAAUCCAGUUCAUUUUGAAAUAAAGUAAUUAUUAAACACAAAGGCGGUUGAUCGUUGUGCUGGAACCUUAACAUUCUCGUUAACCGUCAUCCAUAGAAACAGUUGAACUUUACUCGUAUGUGACCUUAGAUCGCAAAGUAUGAAAUAAGUACACUUUUUAAACCCCCUUUAUCUAAUUAGUUUAAAAUGUAUAUUUUUUUUAAUUAUUUUUUUUUGCGAAAGAAAUUUCACAUAUACUAUAAUGUAUAGCUGCACAAUAGUUUGAUUUUUAAAGUUUAUUAAUUUGAAAGUGUAAAUGUAUUUCUGCAUCUACUCUUAGAUAAAAUACAUUUAUUCAAGGUUGUGAUGGUAGCUCAUUAGCUUGGCUGGUUCAAUCAUUUGUGCAUUCUAGACCAAUCUAAAAUAUACCUAGAUAUGAUUACAACUCGUCUUACAUAACUGAUGGAGGAUGUUCUUAUUAUUAUAUUAAUAAAUCCGAAAAAAUAAUUGUUUUUAAUCGGAGACUAAAUAUCAAUGACCGCAACAAUUAUUCUUUUCCGGGUUAAUGCAACAUUCUCUUCCUGGAAAAACAAACAUUCUUUUCCUGGUUAAACAAUCAUUCUCUUCUGGGUUAAACAAACAUUCUCUUCCGGGUAAAAUAAACAUUCUCUUCCGGGUUAAACAUGGCGAUUUUCUAAAGUAUUAAUAAAAUUAUUAUUGAUAAUAUUGAUAUUGUUAUGUAACUAAAAAGAUAUAUAUUAUGAUUUAUUAUUUGAAUUUGUUUUACAUUACGCUUCGAUUUAUUUACUAAACAUAUUCUAAUGCGAUCAUUUAUUGCGCUUUUAAAUAUAAUCAUCUGCAUAAUGUUGUACUGCAUAGACUGAUUACUUUUUAGUGUAGGUAAUAGUUGCUAUUUGGUAUCUGAAUAUAAAUCUUGCAUUCAAUUUAAUAAAUAAUUUUUUUCUGA